rfam:Xenopus laevis strain J chromosome 2S, whole genome shotgun sequence.
GCAUGGCUGAAUUCUGCUUAAUCUUGCAGUGAUUUUGGCAGUCAGACACCAUGCUAAAGAAAAGAUCUUGGCACUGUUUUUGGUGGCAUCUUAUAUUGUCUCCCACCGUUCUGCUGAGAGCACACUU